CAAUCGGCCCUUUUCAUGGCCACCAAAAUAUAAAACGUAGAUUAUU
rfam:Trichomalopsis sarcophagae strain Alberta scaffold11369, whole genome shotgun sequence.